CCCUCUUCGGAGGCAAGGGAGACAGGUGGUGCAUGGUUGUCGUCAGCUCGUAUCGUGAGAUGUUGGGUUAAGUCCCGCAACGAGCGCAACCCCUAUUAUUAGUUGCCAGCACUUCGGGUGGGCACUCUAAUGAGACUGCCGGUGAUAAACCGGAGGAAGUGGGAUGACGUCAAAUCAUCAUGCCCCUUAUGUCUUGGGCUACACACGUGCUACAAUGGUCGGUACAACGGGAGGCGAAGGAGCGAUCCGGAGCGAAUCCCAAGAAGCCGAUCUCAGUUCGGAUUGCAGGCUGCAACUCGCCUGCAUGAAGUUGGAGUUGCUAGUAAUCGCGAAUCAGAACGUCGCGGUGAAUGCGUUCCCGGGUCUU
rnacentral:rRNA from 1 species